GGGCACUUGGUCGAGAUGGGAAGACAGCAGGUACCCUUAAUCGGGACCUGCAGACCUGGGUUCGACCCCCAGAGUGUCCA